UAAAAAAAAUUAAAUAAUCUCAUAUUUGCAUCCAAUAACUAGAUAUUUUAUAAAUUUAAUAAGAGAAACAGAACUUUUGAAUUAAUAUACAUAUAUGCAAUAUAUAAUAAAUACACACAAAUAUGUAUUUAGAAAAGUGAAUUCAAAUUACUAACACAAUUAAAGUACAAAGUAUAAAUUGAGAUAAAAGAUUGAAAUUACAAUUUCUGGUGUAGUUUUACACUUCAUGCUU
rnacentral:lncRNA from 1 species